AGAGUUUGAUCCUGGCUCAGAAUCAACGCUGGCGGCGUGCCUAACACAUGCAAGUCGCACGAGAAAGUGGAGCAAUCCAUGAGUAUAGUGGCGCACGGGUGAGUAACACGUGAAUCAUCUACCUCCGAGUGGGGAAUAACCUAGAGAAAUCUGGGCUAAUACCGCAUAACACUUACGAGUCAAAGCAGCAAUGCGCUUGGAGAGGAGUUCGCGGCAGAUUAGUUAGUUGGCGGGGUAAUGGCCCACCAAGACGAUGAUCUGUAUCCGGCCUGAGAGGGCGCACGGACACACUGGAACUGAAACACGGUCCAGACUCCUACGGGAGGCAGCAGUGGGGAAUUUUGCGCAAUGGGGGAAACCCUGACGCAGCAACGCCGCGUGGAGGAUGAAAUCCCUUGGGAUGUAAACUCCUUUCGAUUGGGAAGAUUAUGACGGUACCAAUAGAAGAAGCCCCGGCUAACUUCGUGCCAGCAGCCGCGGUAAUACGAGGGGGGCAAGCGUUGUUCGGAAUUAUUGGGCGUAAAGGGCGCGUAGGCGGUUUGACAAGUCUGAUGUGAAAUCUCUGGGCUCAACCCAGAGUCUGCAUUAGAAACUGUCGGGCUUGAGUAUGGGAGAGGUGAGUGGAAUUUCCGGUGUAGCGGUGAAAUGCGUAGAUAUCGGAAGGAACACCUGAGGCGGAAGCGGCUCACUGGACCAUAACUGACGCUGAGGCGCGAAAGCUAGGUGAGCAAACAGGAUUAGAUACCCUGGUAGUCCACGCCGUAAACGUUGGGCCGGUGAUGAAUAGGCUUCGUGCCUAUUCAGUGCCGCAGGGAAGCCGUUAAGUCUGCCGCCUGGGGAGUACGGUCGCAAGACUGAAACUUAAAGGAAUUGGCGGGGGAGCACCACAAGGGGUGAAGCCUGCGGUUCAAUUGGAGGCAACGCCGGAAAUCUUACCGGGGGCGACAGCAGAAUGAAGGUCAAGCUGAAGACUAUACCAGACAAGCUGAGAGGAGGUGCAUGGCCGUCGCCAGCUCGUGCCGUGAGGUGUCCUGUUAAGUCAGGUAACGAGCGAGAUCCCUGCCUCUAGUUGCUACCAUUGCUCUCAGGAGUAGUGGGGCUAUUAGAGGGACUGCCGUCGCUGAGACGGAGGAAGGAGGGGGCUACGGCAGGUCAGUAUGCCCCGAAACCCUCGGGCCACACGCGGGCUGCAAUGGUAAGGACAAUAAGUUCCUAUUCCGAAAGGAGGAGGUAAUCUCCAAACCUUACCUCAGUUAUGAUUGAGGGCUGAAACUCGCCCUCAUGAAUAUGGAAUCCCUAGUAACCGCGUGUCAUUAUCGCGCGGUGAGUACGUCCCUGCUCCUUGCACACACCGCCCGUCGCUUCAUCGAAGUUGGUUCUUGGCGAGGUUGUGUCUCAUUGGCACUGUCGAACCUGGGGUCAGCAACGAGGGAGAAGUCGUAACAAGGUG
rnacentral:rRNA from 1 species